rnacentral:rRNA from 1 species
AUUCCAGCUCCAAUAGCGUAUAUUUAAGUUGUUGCAGUUAAAAAGCUCGUAGUUGGAUUUCGGGUGGGUGUUAGCGGUCCGGCUCUGCUGUGUACUGCUAGUGCCUAUCUUUCUGUCGGGGACGGGCUCUUGGGCUUCAUUGUCCGGGACUCGGAGUCGACGUGGUUACUUUGAGUAAAUUAGAGUGUUCAAAGCAAGCGUUCGCUGUGAAUACAUUAGCAUGGAAUAACACGAUAGGACUCUGGCUUAUCUUGUUGGUCUGUAAGACCGGAGUAAUGAUUAGGAGGGACAGUCGGGGGCAUUCGUAUUUCAUUGUCAGAGGUGAAAUUCUUGGAUUUAUGAAAGACGAACUUCUGCGAAAGCAUUUGCCAAGGAUGUUUUCGUUAAUCAAGAACGAAAGUUGGGGGCUCGAAGACGAUUAGAUACCGUCGUAGUCUCAACCAUAAACGAUGCCGACUAGGGAUUGGCAGGUGUUUCGUUGAUGACCCUGCCAGCACCUUAUGAGAAAUCAAAGUUUUUGGGUUCCGGGGGGAGUAUGGUCGCAAGGCUGAAACUUAAAGGAAUUGACGGAAGGGCACCACCAGGCGUGGAGCCUGCGGCUUAAUUUGACUCAACACGGGGAAACUUACCAGGUCCAGACACGGGGAGGAUUGACAGAUUGAGAGCUCUUUCUUGAUUCUGUGGGUGGUGGUGCAUGGCCGUUCUUAGUUAGUGGGUUGCCUUGUCAGGUUGAUUCCGGUAACGAACGAGACCUCAGCCUGCUAAAUAGUCACGGCUACUUUUUUGUAGCCGUCCGACUUCUUAGAGGGACUAUUGUCGUUUAGGCAAUGGAAGUGUGAGGCAAUAA